GUGGGGAAUCUUGCGCAAUGGGCGAAAGCCUGACGCAGCGACGCCGCGUGAGUGAUGAAGGCCUUCGGGUUGUAAAGCUCUGUGGGGAGAGACGAAUAAGUGCAGCCUAAUACGUUGCAUGAUGACGGUAUCUCCUUAGCAAGCACCGGCUAACUCUGUGCCAGCAGCCGCGGUAAGACAGAGGGUGCAAACGUUGUUCGGAAUUACUGGGCGUAAAGCGAGUGUAGGCGGUCUUGUAAGUCGGGUGUGAAAGCCCUGGGCUCAACCCAGGAAGUGCACUCGAAACUGCGAGGCUAGAGUACUGGAGAGGUUGGUGGAAUUCUCGGUGUAGAGGUGAAAUUCGUAGAUAUCGAGAGGAACACCGGUGGCGAAGGCGGCCAACUGGACAGAUACUGACGCUGAGACUCGAAAGCGUGGGGAGCAAACAGGAUUAGAUACCCGGGUAGUCC
rnacentral:rRNA from 1 species